CUGAUCAGUAAGAAGUGACUGCAUAGAGAUCUGUGGCUAACAAUGCCAAUGUCACUGGCAUCAUCAAUGAACUUCAUGAAGCAAUAUGCCUGUUCCUCACAUGGAAGAUGUACUGGCAGGUCAGCUCCACCAAAACCAGACCAGGACAAAAACAGCAUCAAGCAGAAGCAUCCAGCCCUAGGCUAGCAAAUGGGAGCUGUGAAGACACAAGCUGAACUAUAGGAGAUGUGUGAUGCUAACCUAUUGAGGGGAAUGUCACAGCCUCUUGAAUGAACAAUACUUUCUUGCUCCCCUAAAUGCUCAGUCUUAAGAGUCCUUGAAGAGAUUGGAUAAACACCAAAUACAGCAGUUCUAGACCUGAGCACCAUGGGUGGAAGGGCUGACAUUCACGCUUUUCACUGAGCACUAAUUAAGCAUUUAUUAAGAAGUGACCAUGUGGGGGCCGGGGAUUUAGCUCAGCUCAGUGGUUUUGCCACCUGCUGUGCAAGCACAAGGACCUGAGUUCGAUCCCUGGUACAAAAAAAAAAAAAAAAAAAAGGUGACCAUGUGUCAAGUACUGUGCUAGAUUCUGGAAUUAUCAACCUGAACAAUCCCACCCUGCAAGGGUUCACAGGAGGGAGGGUAGGACAAAGUCAUGGAGAUGGUGGCAGAAGGUGUGCACAAGGUCUGGGGAGUACAGAGGAAAGGAGUCGCUUCUAUGACCUCAGCUAAGAGAGCUGUCAUAGAAGAGGUUCCAUGACUGAUGAGCAAGGGCUUUCAGGUAGGUACAAAGAGGCAUUUCAAUCUUGGAACUGCCAGUGAUGGAGGCCCACAGUGCAGUAAUUCACAAACUGUAAGAGCUUCAGUGUGAUUAACAUGAAUGAUACAGGGCUGCUCAAGGAGUAGUGGUCCUGGCAGGAAGGCUGGGAGAUGAGAUGACAGAAAUGGCAAAGGAAGAGCCAAGAAAAGCACAUCUGGGGGUUUCUGCUGAACAACUCCUGUCUUCUGGGAGCUCAUCCAUGCAGUGAAUUUUAGCAAUUCUUAGAAAAAAGUAGAAGAAAUCUAUUAAUUCUGGAGGAAAUAUGGUCUGUGGCUUUUCAUGAGGAAUCGGGAGAGCUGUAGCAUGUCACCGAAACUAAGGUUGGAAAAAGGAAAAGCAAGAGGAGCAGAGAAGCAACAGCCCACAGAGGGCACAGAGAUGUGCACAGGCCUGGAGGGAGGUACCACAAAAGGAUGAAUAAUCACACACUCCUGGUUCUGAAUAAAAAGCAGCUUCCACACA